AACGAACGCUGGCGGCAUGCCUAACACAUGCAAGUCGAACGAGACCUUCGGGUCUAGUGGCGCACGGGUGCGUAACGCGUGGGAACCUGCCCUUAGGUUCGGAAUAACUCCCCGAAAGGGGUGCUAAUACCGGAUAAUGUCUUCGGACCAAAGAUUUAUCGCCUUUGGAUGAGCCCGCGUUGGAUUAGCUAGUUGGUAGGGUAAAAGCCUACCAAGGCGACGAUCCAUAGCUGGUCUGAGAGGAUGAUCAGCCACACUGGGACUGAGACACGGCCCAGACUCCUACGGGAGGCAGCAGUGGGGAAUAUUGGACAAUGGGCGAAAGCCUGAUCCAGCAAUGCCGCGUGAGUGAUGAAGGCCUUAGGGUUGUAAAGCUCUUUUGCCCGGGAUGAUAAUGACAGUACCGGGAGAAUAAGCUCCGGCUAACUCCGUG
rnacentral:rRNA from 1 species